rnacentral:tRNA from 1 species
GAAAAAUUAGUUAACCAAUAAUACUAGCUUGUCAUGUUAGAGUUACCGUACAUUAUGGUAUUUUUCU